rnacentral:tRNA from 1 species
GGAUUGUAGCUCAGUGGUAGACCACUUGCCUGGCAUGUGUGAAGCACUGGGUUCAAUCCCCAACACCA